GGACCUGCUCAUUUCGUGUUUCCUAAGUGUUAUUCUUAUUUAAGUUUUAAAAAGUAUAUAGAAAGGUUAAGGUAUAAAUAUAUACGAAGUAUGAAAUAGUUUUAAAUUGAUAACUGUCAAACUCAUUUACUACCGAUUCAAAAUAUGUACUUAUUUAUAUUCCUGAUUAUUGUUUGUAAUUCAUCUCAAGGGCAUGGCUAUUCUGCAUUUGAAUAUACAAAAAAGGCUUUGGAAAGUAUUAUCCUUCUCCCUCUUCCAUUUGGAAAAUAGAGGAAAAGAGUCUUUGAAAGGUGAAUACCUCAAAAGUUCAUUCAAUACUUCCCAAAAUGUCUCAGGAUUUACGGCAUUUUAUUUUCCAAAGUCUUUGGGAAAAUUAAGCCCAGACUGAUAAUCUAACGACCAUUUUGUGGUGUUGCAGUGUUAUUUUUCUUGAAAGUCAUUAUGACAAGAUAAAGCAAAUUAAAAAAAUCCUAGUUCAUAUUUGAAUUGGGUAUUGAACAGACUGCUCUGCACCCAGAGAAAACUUAAAAGUAAAGGGCAACACAUCCAUAAAUUGAGCUUUUGAAUCAAUGUUAUUUUUGUAGUUCCUUCAUUUUAAUACCUGAAAAUCACUAACCAUGGAUGCUACUGAGAACUAAGACUAGAUAAGAACUGAAGACGGGAAGAUGAACUACUCGUGGAGCAACUUCCAGUACUGCAAGCUUCACUCAUGGAAGUGCCCUAUACAAGGUGAAGUCUUGCAAGAAAAUGAAGUAAUGUUAUUGGAAACUGAAGAAAAGGGGAUCCUUAUUAUACUGUAUAGUGGCAGAAAGUUCAACAACAUUGUUGCCUGAAGUAACUGAAUGGUAGAAAGUGUGUCUAAUGAACUGGGUGAUCUAGCUAGAGAGAUUUCCAAGCAAAGGUUUCUUCUUGUUGCUUACAGCAAAAUGUAAGAGGAGAGAGAGAAACUAAAGGAAGAACUGUUAAACAACAAGGAGACAGAAUUUGCUGGUUUUGAAAAUUCUCAGCCUCUCCAAAUGGCAAACAAUGCUAAAGUUAAGAUAUAGCUUCUGAGCAAAAAUCAAAUCCAGGGCACUACCAGUAAAACACGGUCCAAAGAAAAAGCCAAAGGUGUGGCUAUAAAAUCUUUUGUUAGUCUCAAAAAGAUUUAAGGUUGCGCAUUAGAGUACUAUUGAGUCAGACAAAAGGGCUUCUAAGGAGAUUAAAGGUAUAUCUCUUUAGGAGAUUAAAGGCAUAGUCUCUUAAUAAAAUGGUAAAGUGUCUAGGAAACUUAAGUUCAUUGUCCCUCAGCCAUCCCAUCAGAAGCCCAAGGUAGAGAAGAGCUUAUUUGAAAGAUAUUUGUAGGUGUGGCUUUGUCUAAUGGGGUAGACCCCCAUAAGAUUCAUGGAAGACUCAUAAAAUUUUUUAAAGAAUUAUGUAUGCAGAAAUAUUGUCACCUUGGACCAAAAGGGAUAAAGAUGGGACAAAAUAAAAAGAGGCCUUUAGACCCUCAAAUUUCUACUAGGAAGAAGUAGGCUGAGAAAAUUCCUCAUCUAUAAGUAUGGGCUAUCUUUCAUGAAAAAGGGAGGAUGACCUAGAAGUCAGAACCAAGACCCCAGAACAUGAUGCUGAGAGCCAGGGAGAAUUAUUCCCCAGCCUUGAGACUUAAUCAAGGAACUUUCAACAUUAGCUUAGCUGGAUUUCAGAAUUAUAAUGGACCAGUGACUCCUUUGUGCCUGCCAUCUCCCCUCCUUUUGAACAG
rnacentral:lncRNA from 1 species